UGGGGAAUAUUGGGCAAUGGGCGAAAGCCUGACGGAGCAACGCCGCGUGAGUGAAGAAGGUUUUCGGAUCGUAAAGCUCUGUUGUCAGGGACGAGAGAGUCUGUCAGGAAAUGGGCAGGCUAGGACGGUACCUGGCGAGAAAGCCACGGCUAACUACGUGCCAGCAGCCGCGGUAAUACGUAGGUGGCGAGCGUUGUCCGGAAUUAUUGGGCGUAAAGGGAGCGCAGGUGGGAAAGUAAGUCAGUCUUAAAAGUGCGGGGCUCAACCCCGUGAGGGGAUUGAAACUACUUUUCUUGAGUGCAGGAGAGGAAAGCGGAAUUCCUAGUGUAGCGGUGAAAUGCGUAGAUAUUAGGAGGAACACCAGUGGCGAAGGCGGCUUUCUGGACUGUAACUGACACUGAGGCUCGAAAGCGUGGGGAGCGAACAGG
rnacentral:rRNA from 1 species